GAUAAACGUUUGCGGCGUGCCUGAUGCAUGCAAGUCGAACGCUCUGAUUUUUCGCAAGAUUGAUCAGAGAGUGGCGAACGGCUGAGUAACGCGUAAGUAACCUACCCUUAAGUGGGGGAUAACCUGUUGAAAAGCAGGCUAAUACCGCAUGUGCUGGUAUUCGUUAGUUUACCAGUAAAGCUUUUGCGCUUGAGGAGGGGCUUGCGUCUGAUUAGCUAGUUGGUAGGGUAAUGGCCUACCAAGGCGAUGAUCAGUAGCUGGUCUAAGAGGACAACCAGCCAGACGGGGACUGAGAUACGGCCCUGACUCCUACGGGAGGCAG
rnacentral:rRNA from 1 species